rnacentral:lncRNA from 10 species
UUAGUUGCAACUAAUAUUUAGCUUUAAAUUCAUGGUGAUGAUGUUGUUGUGAAAAAAAAAUCAUUCAUAUUUGGAAAAUCCAAUUCAAUGAGCUUUAUAGAGCAUAUCCUUAGCUUGUACCAAGGUCUGAGACAUACAGACACUAAUAGGCACAAUCUCAGUCUAAUAAUUUUCUAGUUUAGCCAGGAAGAUAUGUUAGCAUUGAAACAACUAAGUUAGAGUGAGAAUGAGAUAGUCCCUAGGAUAAGUGUGCAAUCAGACAAGGGAGGGGAAAAUCCCCACUGGAAACUAAGAGGAAAUGCUUUUGGAUGCAAAUAAAGAGCAUCUUGAAGAAUGACCACAAUUUCAGUGGUCAGUUGAAAUGGAAAGCACAAAACUCUUCCAAUUCCUGAGGUGCCUGGAUGUAUGUAGAUUUGGGUUGCAGACUAAUGACAAAUCCAGCAAGGUCUUAAAUACUUCCAAGGAAUUUUGUCAGAAAUUAAAAGGAAAAUGAUGGAUAAUCUAAGAGUUGAGAAAAAAUGAAACCUAAAAAUUAUUGCAAUAAUAUUUGCUGAUAUAACUUCUGCCUGGUCAUGGCAAGCAUGACUGCAAAUGUUCAAGAUUCAGAGUCAGAGGGGAAAUAAGAACUAAGACAAUACUGAAUGUUUCAGUGGAUAUUUAGAAUCUCUUUAAUUAGAUGAAUGUCAUUGUGCAGGUGGUCUACUGGAAGAAGGGAAAUAAAAGUUUGUUAAUACAGACAUCUGUGAGGAACACUGACUGUUCUUUGAGGGAGUAACCUGGAAAAUUUGAAAAUGAAACCCCUCCCAGUAGCCUGGUCUCGGCUCUAUGAAGACUGAUUUACCAACAUGUACAGUGGACCUCUGAGGAAAGAAGCAGCCAUUUCAGAGCCCUUAAUGUGAAUGCAUAGGCUGUGAUUAUUAGGAAGUGUUAAAAGCACUGGCUGGCAGCUUAGAUAAACAAGAAUUUGAACCAUCACAAAUAACCAGGGGGAAGUGGCAUUUGUUAGUAUUCUGGAAGAUGUUAAAUCCAUAGCAAAUGAAAGUCUUAGCAUUGACUGUUUCAGGCAACUUAGCCGUAACCUCAAUGCUAAAAAACAGAACACAUAGAGGAGCGUUACCAAUAUUUAUCAAGCUUCCCCUUUAUGUCUGACAUUUUCAAGUGGAUUGACUCAUUUUAUCAUAUGAAGUAGUUGUAUUAAAGCAUUCUUCAGCCCCACCCCGCAAAAAAAAAAAAAAAAAAACAGAAAACAAAACAAAAAAAACCCUGACAAAACAAGACAUGGGGAAAGGAUUCCCUAUUUAACAAAUGGUGCUGGGAAAACUGGCUAGCCAUAUGUAGAAAGCUGAAACUGGAUCCCUUCCUUACACCUCAUACAAAAAUUAACUCAAGAUGGAUUAAAGACUUAAAUGUUAGAUCUAAAACCAUAAAAACCCUAAAA